UCAUUACCUGAGCUGAAGUUGGACGCUUAACUGACUGAGCCACCCAGGCGCCACAUUAGUGUACAUAUUUUAAACUGGGGGUGGUGUUUUACCAGGCAACCUGCCAGUGUGGACAAAAGAAAGCCUAGUGAGGCUUCAAGCGUCCUGGAGCAGAGCAGGAGGGAAGAUGAGAGCUGCAAGACCAGCAAGGCGUUCUGGGAAGGACAAGCAGGCUGUCAACCAUGGGCCAGGGAGCCCUGGCCACCGUACAGCCUUCUCUUGUUACAGGAAGGUGGGGGCAAGAUCAUCCUCCAGCGUCCGUUCAUUCAUUUGAGGACUGUUUGUCCAAUGCCUGUGCCACAUGCUGGGAAUCAGGUGGGCAAAACGGACAUGAUUCUUAGCCUCGAGGAACUUCCAGUCCAAUGUGGGGGACAGACUAUAAAACAAGUGACUAGAACUACCCAGUGUGGCAGGUGCUGUCCAGGCACAACAGGGCACUGAGAUCAAUGCUAAGGGCUGGUGUGGAGGUCCCUGCGGACCUGACUCAGGGAAGGUCUCUCUGAAUCCCUAACGCAACUUUCAGCAUGAACUUAUUUUCUCAUCCCAGAAGUAUUUGGAAGGAUUUCUACCAGCUCUUCCAUUUGCGAGUAUUCUAGUGACGAAAGGAAAAAAAAAAAAAUCACAAGGUAGUGAGCUAGGGAAACC